AGCAGCCGCGGUAAUUCCAGCUCCAAUAGCGUGUAUUAAAGUUGUUGCAGUUAAAAAGCUCGUAGUUGAAUUUCGGAACCAAUAUGUCGGUCGUGCCUCGGUACGUACUGGUGUCAUUGGUUUCUCCCUUCUGAGGAUCCUUGAUGUCAUUAAUUUGGUGUCUUGGGAAAUCAGGACUGUUACCUUGAAAAAAUUAGAGUGUUUAAAGCAGGCAUACGCUUGAAUACAUUAGCAUGGAAUAAUGAAAUAGGACGUUCGAUUCUAUUUUGUUGGUUUCUAGGAUCGACGUAAUGAUUAAUAGGGAUAGUUGGGGGCAUUAGUAUUCAAUUGUCAGAGGUGAAAUUCUUGGAUUUAUUGAAGACUAACUACUGCGAAAGCAUUUGCCAAGGGUGUUUUCAUUAAUCAAGAACGAAAGUUAGGGGAUCGAAGACGAUCAGAUACCGUCGUAGUCUUAACCAUAAACUAUGCCGACUAGGGAUCGGAUGAUGUUAAUUUUUAAUGACUCAUUCGGCGCCUUACG
rnacentral:rRNA from 1 species